AAAUGCUUCGCCUACGCUGUAAAGGGAAAUAAUGACAGGGAGUCCUUGGAGAGCAAUUUGUGUGCUAUACCGUUACAUGUAUCAUUGGACCACUCUAAAUGUGGAAACUGGUGUGAUUUUGUACAACAACCAUCAUACAAACCAAGAAACCUGCCUUAUGGGAAAUAUUUAACUGGAGAAGAUCUAAUAAAGGACCUCCAACAUAUUUUUGAUGCUUUCAGCAAGAAUGCUGAAAAAUUACUGAAUAUAGGCAGCACUGAAGGAAAUGAGAGUUUCAACAACAUUGUUUCCUCCAAAAACCCAAAGAACCGCUUUUAUGGUGGUUCAGAGUCCACUGCCUUCAGGGUUGCAGCAGCUGUUGCACAGAAGGAUAUUGGCAAUGAUGCUAUUUCCAAGGUUUAUGAUACUUUAUUACUGUCACCAGGAAAGAAUACAGAAUUGUUUCUUACUCGGACAUCAAAGAAAAGGUAGUACAACAAGAAUAGAAAGGCCAGCACAGCAUACAAAAAACGACGCUAUGAACUGAAGUCAUCAAUGGCUA